UACGUAGGGGGCUAGCGUUGUCCGGAAUCAUUGGGCGUAAGCGCGCGUAGGCGGCCAGAUAAGUCCGGUGUGAAAGUCACAGGCUCAACCUGUGAAUGCCGCUGGAAACUGUCUGGCUAGAGUCCGGAAGGGGCGAGUGGAAUUCCUGGUGUAGCGGUGAAAUGCGCAGAUAUCAGGAGGAACACCAAUGGCGAAGGCAGGUCUCUGGGCACUUACUGACGCUGAGGAGCGAAAGCAUGGGGAGCGAACCAGG
rnacentral:rRNA from 1 species